GACGAACGCUGGCGGCGUGCUUAACACAUGCAAGUCGAACGGAAAGGCCCUGCUUGCAGGGUACUCGAGUGGCGAACGGGUGAGUAACACGUGGGUGAUCUGCCCUGCACUUCGGGAUAAGCCUGGGAAACUGGGUCUAAUACCGGAUAGGAGCCAUUUUUAGUGUGAUGGUUGGAAAGUUUUUUCGGUGUAGGAUGAGCUCGCGGCCUAUCAGCUUGUUGGUGGGGUAAUGGCCUACCAAGGCGGCGACGGGUAGCCGGCCUGAGAGGGUGGACGGCCACAUUGGGACUGAGAUACGGCCCAGACUCCUACGGGAGGCAGCAGUGGGGAAUAUUGCACAAUGGGCGCAAGCCUGAUGCAGCGACGCCGCGUGGGGGAUGACGGCCUUCGGGUUGUAAACUCCUUUCGCUAGGGACGAAGCUUUUUGUGACGGUACCUAGAAGAAGCACCGGCUAACUACGU
rnacentral:rRNA from 1 species